rnacentral:lncRNA from 1 species
AAAUCUGGUAAGAUAAGGUAAGCUAGUUGGUUGGUUAGUUAGGAGUUGUUCCUUUAAUUUCUCUACAAUUUAUAUUCAAAUAAGGUCCUAUUUUUUAUGGGAUCUGACAUUGUAUUCACCUCUAUUUAAUAGAGAUAUUCUUGUAUAAACAAUACAAUUUUAAGUCAUUAAAAUUAAUAUUGCAUCAGAGCAGACUCUGUUACUUUCCAAAUUUUAAAACAAAAAAUGGCAAACACCGCCACGACCAGUGCAACUCGGGAAGGUGAGUCUGAUGUAUCUACCGAGUCUUCACAGUGAAUACCUCUAGAGAAGGACCAGUGGCUAGCUACGGUGAGUCCCACACUCUGCAGAUCACACAACACAAGCUCAAUGGAUCCAAUUACCUGGAUUGGUCUCAAUCGGUGCUAUUGGUUAUUCGAGGUAAAGGAAAAGUUGGUUAUCUUACUGGAGAGACAAAGAAACCAGAAGCACAAGAUACUGGAUAUCGGAUCUGGGAGUCAGAAAAUUCCAUGGUCACUGCGUGGUUGGUAAAUUCUAUGGAACCCAAGAUUGGUAGAAAUUAUUUAUCCUAUAAAACUGCCAAAGAGGUAUGGGAUCUCGCCCAAUCUAUGUAUUCUGAUUUUGGUAACUCAUCCCAAAUGUUUAAAAUCGAUAUUAAGAGAUAUGAGGCAAGGCGAAACUACUAUAAUCGAUUACUAAAAUAUUUUGGUGGGUCUUUGGCAAGAAUUUGAUUUAUUUAAUGAUGUACGCUGGUCAUGCCCAGGAGAUGCUCUGAAGAAUACUCAGAAACUAGAAAAGGAGAGAUUGUUCGAUUUUCUUCAUGGACUGAACAAGGAAGGAUUCUUGGUAUAAAGCCACUGCUGUCAAUACAAGAUGCCUUUGCAAAGGUUCGACAUGAAGAGAGUAGAAGGAGAGUCAUGAUGAAAUCUAGUUAUGUGGAAAACUCUCUGCAGAACUCAGCACUUGCAGCAAAGCGACCCGUCUAUAACCAACAACAAAAUCAGGAGCAGCGUAGAGAAAAAAAGGAUUGGCGUGACUACUGUAAGAGAUUCUAUCAUACUAAAGAAAAUUGUUGGAAGAUAAAUGGAAAACCUACAAACUGGCAACCAAGGCAUGAACGUGAUGGCAAUGGCAGAGAAUUUCAACUUGCAGGAGAUGGUAGAGGAUUCCAAGUCAGGUAAUCAGCAAGGGAGAUCCUGUUUUAGUCCCAAACAGAUUUCAGAAUUGCAGACUUUGCUUCAAAAUCUGCAAAGUACUUCACACCAACCACAUCAGGCUCUUCAUCAGGAUGCUUCACAGCCAAGUAUUAAUGCCAAUUGCAAUAUAGCCCAGAAAGAUAGCUUCUCCACUGCUCUAAUUACGAAGACAUCAGUGAAUGAUCUAUGGAUAAUUGAUUCAGGGGCUUCAGACCAUAUGACAGGGAAUUAUGAGUUAUUUUCUGACUAUAUUUCGUGUUCUGGUUCAUUGAAAAUCAGGAUUGCUGAUAGUUCUUUAUCCUCAAUUAUAGGGAUAGGGACUAUUGUGGUCUCACCACUUAUAACUCUCAAAUCAGUUUUACAUGUUCCCAAUCUUUCAUGUCAUCUUAUUUCAAUAAUCAAACUAACUAAAGACUUGAGUUGUGAAGUUAACUUUUCUCCAUAUAUGUGUAAAUUUCAGGAUUUGUAUUCAGGGAAGAUGAUUGGCAUUGCUAAGUGAAGUAAUGAUUUGUACUAUCUUGAAGAUUCCAAGGAAGGCAAGACUGCUCAGUUUCAAGCUUAUGGAAGUAAAAGUGUUUCUAGCUCAAGUUCCGUUCCUACAUAUGUUUUGAAUAAAGUGAUGUUAUGGCAUAAAAGACUAGGGCAUCCUAACUUUAGUUAUUUGAAGAAGUUGUUUCCAACGUUAUUCAAUAAUAAAGAUGCAAGUUUGUUCAAAUGUGAUAUUUUCCAGUUAGCUAAAC